rnacentral:rRNA from 1 species
UACGAAGGGGGCUAGCGUUGCUCGGAAUCACUGGGCGUAAAGGGUGCGUAGGCGGGUCUUUAAGUCAGGGGUGAAAUCCUGGAGCUCAACUGCGAGUCGGCCAUGGAUACUCCUCGGCUUGAGCACUGUAGAGGCAGGUGGAAUUCCGGGUGUAGCGGUGGAAUGCGUAGAGAUCCGGAAGAACACCGGUGGCGAAGGCGGCCUGCUGGGCAGUAGCUGACGCUGAGGCGCGACAGCGUGGGGAGCAAACAGG